rnacentral:lncRNA from 1 species
UACCAUAUUGGAUGUCCUUCAUCAUUGAUGCCCAAAAGGGUUUGGGCAUUCCUCUUAUUUGCUAGUUUUUACUCCUUGGUUGCUUCAUAAUCUAUGAAAGAAAAAGCAAAAGAAGAAGUGAAGAAAAAGAUCAAGAAAAGGAUCAAAGAGUUGAUCGCGAUCUAGGAUUCGUUCAGUUUUGCAGGCUGAUUUUUCUUGGAGAAAAAAAAUCAAUUUCAAAGAAGACUGUUUCAGGCUAAUCUUGAGUGGAUACCCAUAG